CUACUCCUCAGUCUGAGAGAGAUUCUGAGAGCAGGUUCGUGUCUCCUUCCUCUGUAUAUAAAAACUGUACUGUUUAACAUAAGUGUUUUUGGAAAACUGGUUCAUAUAUCCUGAAGUCAAUAGCGAAUAUGGCUAUGAAUAUAUUUAAUUUGCCGUUAAUGUAUUGAAGACCUAUUUCAGCAAGUUAACCAAGUUUUUGCUGGCUUAGCUAGCCAUGUUAACGAUGAGCUAACUUAACUAGCACCGUACUACAAUGUCACGCUAGCUAUUGCCAGCAGGUGAUUUGCUAGCAGGUGACUUAUUGGAAUAUUAAGUGAAUGUUUAUUUUCUUACUACCUUUUAAAAGGUUUAUAUAAAAGGGUUGUACUUGUGCUCUGUAUUUAUGGAUUAAUAUCACUUCACAUUGAGGGUAUGUAUCACUCCUAUCUAAAAGAUAUUGCUCCUAUCUAAAAUAUAUCUUGUGGGCUACCUAACCAGUGAACGUUUGUGGCUGUGACCGUCCUGUCAAUGCCUGUCAUCACUGUUUGACAUCUUUUACUGCAGGUAUGCUUUUCUGUAUUUUUGUUAUUGUAUACUAUACAAUCACUUUGUAGAUUGGGUCUGAGAGAGAUAUUCUGAGAGCAGUGAACGUGUGGCUGUGACUGUCCUGUCAAUGCCUGUCAUCACUGUUUGAUAUCUUUUACUUACUAAAAACCUAGUCAACCUGAAGUGCGGGUGUCCGUGUGCCUUUCUUCUGAGGGGCUAUGUAAAGUUGGUUACAUCAGCAAGGGACACACUUUGUAUGUGGACAAUUGGUACCUCGGUCCCACACUCUUCCAGCAUCUGCUCUCCAACAGCACAGGGGCCUGUAGCACAGUCAGGUCAAACAGGAAGGGGAUGCCGGCAUUCGGAUGCAGGAAGAUAAAGAGAGGGGAGGUGGAGUUCAAGGAGAACGGUCAACAGCUGGCAGUAAAGUGGCAUGACAAACGAGACGUCCAUGUCCUCUCCACUGUCCAUACAGCAACCAUGUCGGCCACAGGGAAGGUGGACCAACUGACGGGAGAGAGAAAAAUCAAACCAGACUAACUAACAGAUAAAGUAAUUACCUACCAAAAGUACAGAGAGAACCUUAUGAGGGAGCUGCUGGAGGAGCACCACACCCAUCAGCGCCCAUCCACUGGGGGUCGUCCUGCUGCGGACAAUCCCCUAAGCCUCACUGCACGGCAUUUUUCCUGCAAAGUCCCUCAAACUGCUGCUCAAGGUAGUCGCACACAGGCACUGCAAAGUUUGCCUGUCUGGCACCAGGAGAAGAAAGCAGAGGAAGUUGUCAAUAUACAUGCAUUUAGCUUGUGAUACACCUCUAUGUAUUUCACCAUGCUUUGGGGAGUAUCAUAUGCUCAAGCAAUAUUGAGCACAUCUGCAGCAAUUAGUGACUGACUGACGGACCUGACAGGUGACUUUCCUUCCACGAUACUAGUUGUUGUUCAAUCACUGCAUGAAUAUUAAAUACGGGUUAUGGAUAUUCCGUUUUUUUUCCUCUAGUAAAACUUGUUCAACCAACCACCA